rnacentral:rRNA from 1 species
UACGUAGGGGGCAAGCGUUGUCCGGAUUCAUUGGGCGUAAAGAGCGUGUAGGCGGCCAGGUAGGUCGGUUGUGAAAACUGGAGGCUCAACCUUCAGACGUCGACCGAAACCAUCUGGCUAGAGUCCGGGAGAGGAGUGUGGAAUUCCUGGUGGAGCGGUGAAAUGCGCAGAGAUCAGGAGGAACACCCGUAGCGAAGGCGGCACUCUGGGCCGAUACUGACACUGAGGAGCGAAAGCGUGGGGAGCGAACAGG